UAGUUCAUUAUGGGUCUGGUAUCAUAUCUUGUAUAUGUGGCAAAAGCGUAUGUUACUAAAGAGAUAAGAUUGCUGCUUGCCUUAUCCAUGAAAAUCUAGUUCAGAACUGCCACGUGUCUGCCAGCACUUGUGUGAAUUUUCCAUGUGAUUGAUGGCUUGCAUCAAGUAGUGUUGCCAAGUAUUUGGAAAUUUGAGUUGUGACCUCACAUGGAUACAUGGAUAUGUCUUCUCCUAUGAGGUGAAUAAUAAAAUGAGCAAGUUCUGUUUCUUUUCUACUUCGAAUCUAUCAAAGUUUUCUUGGAUUGGUAGUUAUUUUUAAUGACUAUUACAUGGAGGACAUUUUUAAUGAGUACUCAUAUGUCUUCUCCUAUGAGUGAUGUGUUUGUUUUACUAAUAGGUAUAAGUUCCUUGCAUAUUAUCUGACACCAUAUUUCUCUAAUUACAUUCAUAAUGCUGCCAUCUCAGGUAAAAGGUUUGGAUGUAGACACUGUUUGUGUCUCAUUUCCAGGUAAAUCAAGCCCAGAAGCAGAGGCGCUGCACAUACCGUGCCCAUGGAAGAAUCAACCCCUAUAUGUCCUCACCUUGCCAUAUCGAGCUGAUUUUGUCCGAGAAGGAAGAACCUGUCAAGAAGGAGCCUGAAAGGCAACUGGCUUCUUGGACAACCAGGAAAGCACAAGUACUCCACAGUGGCACCUCAUCCUGAGUGGCACUAGUUGUAGAAGGUAGAGUAUUUUCCUUUAAAGUCUCUUCUUUUUUUGAUCCGAGUAUUUUUGAUAUUUUGCUUGAGAUCUUCAUCCUUGGGACGUGUAUUUGAAUCAUUUAUCUGGGGUGCUGCAUGUUGGACCCCAUUAAACCAGCUCUAGUACAUUUUCACAUGCAUUGCUGUCCAAGAGUAGUUUAAUUUUUAGGGGGGAGUGCCUCUGACAAAGUCCCUGCUCGGGUGGGCACACAAAUCAGAUUCAGGAGUAAGUAGUUUGGCUGGUGUUUAGAUGCAGUAUUGAAUUGAAUUGCCUUGAGCAGGAGAUUUUAUAUUAUUACAUGGAGGACAUAUUGACUAUUUUUAAUGACUAUUACAUGGAGGACAUUUUA